rnacentral:ribozyme from 11 species
GAGAAAGAGAAUCUCGAAAGAGACUCAAAGAAAAAAUAAGAAAGGGGCAUGUGGACAUACGCACCCACCCGUUAAACUUUCAAACUGCCCUCUCUUUCCUUGUUUUCUUUCUUUUCUCUCCAUCCUCCUUUGCAAGAAGAAGGAUGGAAGUCAAAGACGGGAAAGCAAGAGACAAAGAAAGAAAA